rnacentral:tRNA from 1 species
AGUACUAUAAGUUUAUUAACCUUUAGAGCUUAAAUCUAAUUAUCAAAAGAUUAGUACUA